GGGUGGGGAAGGGGCGCGGAUGCGGCGGGAGCUCCGGGGGCGCAGGCCUGGCGCGGGGUCCCCUCUAGCCCGGAUUUGGGGAACAUAGGGAAGGCCCUCUCCCGCGCAGCUGCUGCCCCCGGCCCAACAGUUCCCGGGUGCGGCGGGACUCACGGCCUUCAGCUGCUCCAGUCGGUCCUUCAUCCUGCUGCCCAGGCGCCCGGAGGCAGGUGAGCGCGUCCCAGGUGAGCGCGUCCCAGGUGAGCGGCCGGAAGUGGCGGGCGGCCGGCCGGCCGGCCGGGUCGGGGCGAAGGAGCUGGAGGGGCAGGCGGAGGCGGGCGGCGGCCGCGGGCUAGGAGGAGCGUCCGAGGCCACGGGAGGCUCCGCCGCGCCGCCCCCUGCGGCCCCGCCGGCGCCGCGCUCUCCAAAUCCGGCUCCCGGGCCGGCGCCGGCGCGCAGCGCAGAUCCGCCCGGCGGGCCCGCCCCUCACCUGCGCCGCGCCCCGCGCUCCUCCUUAAAGGGCCCUCCGCUCGGGCGGCUCCGGCUCCGGCGCGGGGGGGAGGGCGGGGGAGUCCAGGGAAAAGGGCGGGCCCGAGGGAGACCCCCUCCUUUUCCCCCGACGGCCGCUCGCGGCCUGCACCGGGCUGUGUCGGGCCCGGCCGCACACUGUCCCGGGGACCGAGAACGCUGUGCGCCUAGCAGGUGGGAGGGAGAGCCAGGCGUCCCUCUCCCCCCCCGCCCCCCGCAACCGAGGAAGGGCGCUCCAAGGGACGGAGCUGGCCGUCCGGGGGACUGCGGGAUACCGCUGGGGGCGCGUGUUCUUUCCUAAAGGAAAUAACCGGGGGUGCGGCGGGGCGGCGGCGAAGACUCUGGAUUUGACACUGGUCGCAAUCGCGACCCCUCCGAGAAAUGGAAGGAGUCCAACGUUGGAGGCAGCACCUGCCGCUAAUAAUCUGUACAACUUUGGGGGUUGCGGUUUCUCUAGAGGACUGCGUUUCCGGAGGGGUCUGGUUCGCACCGCACAGAACCGGGGUGGUAAGAUCGAGAUGUCUGUGUCACGAACUGUUUGUUUGUCAAGCUGAAGCCGUCUUCGUUCCUACGAGGUGUGGACUGCCAGUGCGUGAUCCAGGCUGACUUCAUCUCCUCCCAUAAAGAUACGGUCGUAAGCGGUCGGGCUGGAUGAACUCUUUCUCGUCCCUGACCCUCCUUUGGGCUACACUUCCUUCCACCCCGGACGCUCCCUAGGCAGAAGUUUGGAUUCCACCUGCUAGCUGUAUACAAGAAAUGAAAAAGUCGGGGCGCCUGGGUGGCUCAGUCUGUUAACUGUUGGACUUCGGCUCAGGUCAUGAUCUCGCACUCCAUGAGUUCGAGCCCUACAUCAGGCUCUGUGCUGACAGCUCAGAGCACAGAGCCUGCUUCGGAUUCUGUGUCUCCCUCUCUCUCUCCCUUCCCCAACUUGUGCUCUGUCUCUCUCUCUCUCUCUCUCUCAAAAAUCAAUAAAUGUUAAAAAAUUUAAAAACAAAAUGAAAUGAAAAAGUCAAGUAACUGGAAUAUGGUACCUGGGCAAGGGGAGUCCAGGGGCUGGUGAAAAAGACUCUUGAUGUUGAGCCCAAGUGGACUCUAGGGUCUCCACGUAGGUGUGGACGGGGACUUGAGGUUCCAGGCUUAGCUGGAGCCCCAACUGAUGUAUUUUUAUUCUUCUGCCCCACGGUGGAACUUCGUUUCCCAUCUGCUGUGUUUUGGUGUAGCUGUUUCCCCGUUAAACAAACAGAGCCCAAAUCCACUCAAGUGUUUGCAUUUUGGCUAUGUGUAAAACCAGCCGACACUCAGUUUCACCUCUACAGACCAACCAAAGGCUCCUGGCGUUUGGCAACUCCGCUUCCUUCUCUCUCCUCCCUCCGACCCUACUUCGUUCCCAUCGGAGGAAGGGAGUGGGCCUUACCCCUUCUGGACCUCCAGAGCCCACUGCACGACAGGUGACGCCUCUCCAUAGGGCAGUUCACAACAUGGCAGCUGGUUUCCAUCAGAACAGGCAGGCGAGAGGGAGAGAUGGAAGCCAAAGCACUUUUGAACCUAAUCUCGGCUGUGACGUCAUUUAGGCUGUAUCUGUUCAUUGGAAGUUACUCACUGGGUGCAGCCCACGCUCACGGUGAGGGGAUGACACAGUAGAAUGAAGACUGGCAGUCCUCUCAAUGCCUACCUAGUACAUAGUUCAGAUCCCAAAUCAAUGCCAGAGUUAGGCUGCGUCACUUUCUCAGAGCUCUCUUCUCCCCCAUGCUCGUCCGGGACACCACUGGUACAUUCUCCAGGCCUCAGAGUAAAAGUUUCCCCCUCCAGGAUGGAGUUAAGUGUCCCUCAAACAUGCCUCUGGUGACACCCUGCGCUUUAUCGUAGCCCCUACCACCCUAUGAAUUACCUGGCCACUGGUCUGCCUCGUGUGCCUUCUGUAAGCUCUGAGGACAGCAGCCUUGUCUUUUGUCUUCACUGAUGUGGACCCCGACCCAGGCACAGGGCCACAAAUGUAUCAGGCGUUCGGUUAAGAUUUACCAAAUUUAGUAAGCGAAUCUUCUUAUAAUGUGCCUCCAUUACGUCUUUCUUCUGAUGGAAACUCAUCAGUAGCUUCUCAUUACAACGAGUAGGGAGUACAGACUCUUCUUGGAAUGGUAUUCAGGCCUUUGCCCAAUCUGGCCCCGGGCCCCAUGCCCUCCAUGACAUGCACAGCCCCUCGUUAGCCUCACUGAAUGCCCACCUCCUCUCUGAGCCAGAUGCACCAAGGAUUUCCCACCUACCUCUGCCUAAUAGGCCCUUAAUCCUUUUCACGUCUAACAGAUCUGUGCUCCUCCUUCAAAACCCAAACCUCACGUGGCCCCAUGGCCCCUCUGCCUGCCUCUGCACAACUUGUUCAGACCUCUUUUUAAAGCACACCCUGGCUCCGUUGUUAA